CAUUAAUUUCUUCACCUCGAUUCCCAUGUGGUAAUUCCUAAGGCCCAGUUUAAAGAUGGGUUGAUACUCUACAGUGGCAGAGAGGAGAAUUUCUAAUUGUUUCUGUUCUGCAUUAUGGAUUCAUUUCUGUACUCUCUUCCUCAAUGUACAAGUAAGGUGACAGUUAUAUAAAAUCAUACACAAUAAAAUCAGGACUAUAAUAACAAAAUGAUAGAAGAAUGAUUUCAUUAUCUGAGAUCCAGUAGGGGACCAACCAGUAAAGCAUUGUACCAAUUAUGGGCUAAAUCAUUCUGAAUUUGUGAACUCACCUUAAGGAGUUCUCCUUUUAGGAUAUGUGUGGCUACCUGUGUGUGUUAUCUUUGGGAAAAAUAUAGUCCCCUGUGUAUGUGGGUGCCCACCAGGUUAAAGUCCUGGUAAAGAGAUCAUAAACUGGUACUGGUAAUGUGUUAAAUUGACAAGCUAAUUUAACAUCCUUUGAUGUUGUAUGAUAUAAUGUAAAAUAGCAUGAGCAUGAAAAAUGUGAAACAUUACCAGUUAACCAUCCAUUGCAUUUACUGGAUUGGGGUUUUAGAAGUAACCAUUCAUUAUCUGUGAGGUUACACUUUCCUCUAAUCUUCUCUAGUUUAGGAAUCAUUAGUGUGUUUUCUAAUGCCAAUCCUUGUUGUUGUAUCCAUAAAUACCUGAUGGCACAAGUACUCCAGUUACCGAGAUUUGUGGUGAAUUUCAUAGUUGCAACAGUUAAAUUAUCUAAAUAAUUAUACAUUGAUUUAUCUAAAUCCAAUCCUAUAACCUGUGAUUUAACAACAAUUGGAGCCCAAUUUGCAGUAGCAUGAAAACCAGUCCCUAUAUGCAUGCUGGCUGUGUUUAACUUAUUCUUGAGGGUCUCCAUAUCUAUAACUAUUUAGUAUACCCAUAGUGGUUCCAGCACCUCCUAACAGUGUGUCAUACCAUUCCCUUUUCUGCCUUUGUUUGCUGUGUUACAUAAUGUUACAACAGGAGUAGUGAUUUUUAAUGACACAUGUACAGCUUGUAAGAAGGCAGUUGUAUUAACACAUGUGGACGGAAUAGGUGUGUGUGUGUCGUUGUUGACUUUUGGUUCUAUGGUAGAGGAUAAAGGACAGUAAUAAGGUGUAAAAAUAUAAGGUAGUGUAUAGUUCUCAAUUGUAGUGUUGUUCAUAAUGACUAACAUUUGUCCCCUUCUCCAAUUAAUGAUACCAGUUAUAUAAUCAUUAUUAAAAGUAAUAAGGCCUGUCUGUUUACAUUGAUAUGCAACCUUAACUGUGCACAUUUCUGCGUUAUAAGAUCUAACAAUUUUCUGUGAACCUUCAAACAAACAUAAUGCAUCGGUUUCAUUAGCUGUAGACACAUUUCAUAUGGGUAACUGGUACUUAUAAGGGUUACUAUUUGUCCAAUUCAUCCAAAUGCGUUCAGUCAAUGAAUGAUUGCAUAUUGCAUGCUGAUAGAAAGGUGGUGGAGAAAGGUUCUUGAGGGGGCGUGUGUGACGAAUGCUAGAUGAGGGGCUAAGGCCUAAUUGGGCUGGGGGUAUUGAAGAAUUGUUCAUCAUGUCAGAGUCUUUUUCCAGAACUUGCCAUUGACUUGUACUCAUAAUGGCAUUCAAGGAACAAUAUCAGAGGGAGUAUAACAACUCCAGAAAGCAUAGCACACAACAUAAUCUUGGUCUCAGGUACGUAUGAUCCUCUCAAUCUACGAUAUUGUGUAAAACCAUGAUGCUUCGCUGAGGAGAAAUUCUUCUGUUUCCGAGCGAGGAGUGGUGUUGUCUUCCUUGGUUCCCCUCUUUGGACACAGCUUCACUCGGGAUGCGUGAAUCCAGAUGUCGUGGGAAUCUGUGGACAGCGGUUCUGGGUACAGCAAUCACAGUAGCAGGUGGUCCAAAAGGGUAUCCUCCUUUCUUGGUCCUGUUCAGCUGACGGAUAUACACCUUGUCACCGGGCUGGUAUGAAUGAGUAGGUUCCUGUGAAGGUAAGGGAAAACUGCGAAGAAACAUUGUCAUACAUACCAUUCGGUUUUAUCAACAAUUCCUGUACAUAUUGUUCUUGUAUUAGCUGUAAAUCCCCAGACAUUAUAACAAGCGGUUCCCUGGCCCAGGGUGUGGGAAAAGGUCAUCCCAUCAAAAAUCUCAGAUGGAGAUAAUUUAGUCACCUUGUGGGGAUUCAUUCUUAUCUCAGCUAAAAUAGCUGAUAGAUAUCUAGUCCAAUUUACCCAUGUUCCUGGGUAAAUUCUGGGCUUUUCCUUAAUAGUCCUAUUCAUCCUUUCAACUACCCCUGUAUUCUGUGGAUGAUAGGGUAUAUGAAACUGCCAGGUAACUUGCAAGAAUUUAGCAAGUUCCUGGGCAACCCCACUUGCAAAAACUGGGCCAUUAUCAGAGCCAAUCUGCAGAGGGCAGCCAUACCUGGGAAUAAUUUCAGUAACAAUAAUCUUCACUAGCAUCUUCCCUAGAUGUCACAAAGGCCUCAUGCCAUCUACUAAACUGAUUAACUAUGACCAGUAAGUAUUGCUGUUUCUUACCAAUUUUGGAUACAUAAAUAAAAUCAAUCUGUAAGUGUGUAAAAAGAGCAGCGUUCACACGAUCUUACAAAAGACUGUACAUGCUGCCUGAGAUUCCUAAUAUAAAAUGAAUUCAUGAGGAAUUGAAUGGUGCUUGCUAUGUGCCUGACUGAUGAAAAUAAAUCAGCUUGCUUCAAGUAUGCCUAUUCUUCAAGUAUGCCUAUUCUCCCCUCUUUAGAGAACAGAUCAUUUUGAUCUUUCUCUAAACCUUGUUUAAUCCAAAAGACAGAUUCUGGGUAUUUAAAAAAAAAAAAGAAUCUCAUAACCACUGAAGCGCUGGGCUGUCAUGUGUUGUGUGGUGAGAUUUGUCAGCUGAGUGACCUGGUGACUGGCAUGAAGUAUUGUAGGAUGCCCUAGUGUGAUAGUAGUAGCAGUUUCAACAGCCAUUGCACAUGCUAUCAAUGCUCUGAGACACGCCGGCAUACCCUGUACCGGAGCUCGAACUACUUUGGAAAAGAAUGCUAUGGGACGCAUACCGCCUCCUUGCUCUUGUGCACAGACUGCGGCCAUGGUUUUACAAUUGUCCCAAACAUACAAAUGAAAUGGUUUACAAUACACAGGUAGUCCUAAAGCCUGGGCUUGCACAAUAACAACUGUAAGGGCAAUAUAUGCAGCUAGCAUGUCUGGUGACCAGCAGACAUUUUCAGGGCUGUCAGAACGUACAGCCUCCCUUAGGAUUGAGUUAUAAUGGGAGCAUUCAGGGAUCCAUUGGCGGCAGUAAUUAAUCAUGCCGAGGAAGGUGAGCAACUCCUUCCGAGUAGUGGGUGUAGGAAUCCUCUGAAUGACCUCAAUACGUUUUGGACUCAAUUGUCUGGUGCCUAAAGCCAGAACAAAACCUAAGUAUUCAACCUUUGAUUUACACAAUUGCAUUUUGUGUUUAACAACCUUGUGACCCACAGUUGCUGACAGUAUCCACAGUGCUUGCCUCAUAGCUAGGGCUACAUAACAACAAAUCAUCAACAUUUUGCAAAAAGGACGGAACCAUGACCGGUGGUCCAUGUUUUUUAGAGUAUGUUAGAGUACCAACGAAUAAACAGCUGGGGAAUCCACAUAGCCUUGGGUAAGCGUGUCCAGGUAAACUGACAGCCUUCAAAAAGUAAAAACCAUAAGUAGCUGUGUCUCUUGAUCAAUAGGUAUAGAAAAAAAUGCAUUACUUAAAUCAAUGACAGUGAAGCAAGUGGCAUCAUGUGGAAUGGCUGUAAUGAGGGAUGUCACAUCAGGGACAAUGGGUGAAAUGGGCACAAUUAAACUAUUCAGGGCUCUAAAGUCCUGAACUAAGCGAUAUGCUGGCCAGUGGUGUUGGGAGUGGGUCUGGUGUUGUUCUUGCCUACAGGGCAUAUUUUGAGAAAGGUGGGGUUGUUGGGGUGUGUGGGGUUUCCUGGGGUGUGGACACUCAUUCCUCCAGUGGCCAUAUUGGCCACAGUUGAAACAAGUGUUCCUGUCUAUUCCUCCUUGGUUACCCCUGCCCCUAUAACCCUGAUUUCCCUGUCUCCAUCCCCUUGCCCCUCUUUGACCACCCCUUCCACUGGCUUUAUGUGCUCCAUCCCAUCCUCGCUCUCAGCCUGUGUAGGUGGCAAUCCCUGAGCAUAAUAAGCAACCUUACUUUCCUAAAUCUUUUCUUAAUUCAAAACAACCUGCAUUUUCCUUUUCUAUAACCUUGGUAAGAAAAUCUGAGCUAUCCAAAUUGGCCCAGUCUGAAAUCAAUUGUUUCACAAGCAAAGAAUACUGUGGCAACAUAUUACCAAGGUAUGACUGUAUUUUAAAGAGAUCUAUAUCAUCUCCAGACAUCAAACCUGCCUCAUCCUUCCAACACUUGUAAAAUUUCUUUACAAAAAUCAUAUUACCAAUCUCUUCCUUUGCAUCUUGCUUAUAUGCCAAAGCAGUGAAUAUAGACUGCUUAUUCUUCCAUAAUCCCAACAUUUCAGCUUCCACCUUGUUCCAAAUUUUAGCACAUCUUACUGAAGUACUAAACUCAUAAUCACCAAUUCAUUUCAAACCAUAUAACUCAUACUCAGCAUCCAAUGUAAUAUUACACGUCAUCUCACAAAGCAAUAUCUUUGUAGAAACACAUAAUGGGUACCCAGCAGAUAUGCCAAUACAGAAAUCACAUUUAUGGGCACACAACUACACACUCUGUCUCCCUCCUAGGAAACACGGAUAGACACAAUAUAAAAGCAAUCUUAAACUAACACCUCCAAAUCUCCAACUAUUCUUGGCCAAAACACUAGUAUUCAACAACUAAUAAAACAGUUAUUUGCUAGGUUAUUUGGCUGUCAUUCUUAUCAGUAUCACUAGACUGUGACAAACUGAUUCACAUAUAAUUUAAAACAAUACAGCAACAUAUAAAUUAAACCACUUUCAAGUUAAACUGCACACUUCACACAUUAUCACAAUCACCAUUUACACAAAAUAAACAGUUAACAGCUGUAUUCAGAACAUAUUAUUGGAAGGUAUACCAAUUUUAGUUUAGAUUUAUUUUAGGGAUUCUUAUGUAUACAUUUUCUUAAUUAACUUCAUUACUUUAAUCUACUAUAGUAUUGUAUUUAAAGAAAGGAUCCAUUUAUAUAGCGCGCUCAUAACUCAACUAUUUGUCUAAAACUUCCAUUAACUAAUCUGAGAUGAUGCAGCAUCAACUUAAAUCCUAUAGAAAUUGAACAAACAUCUGGACCAGAUUAAACAGACAUGGUUUCACCUGAAUCUUUCAGAACUCUCAGAGACUUAAAAAAUUUAUACUAUACCAUGUUUUAAAGGCAUGGCAAACCUUUAGACCGGUCAGUCUCCAAGAGCCCUUAGUAACACAGGUAAAAAACCUUUGUCCAUGAUGUCUGAUUCAGGCUAUAUACCACAAUUUAAAAAUAACACAUAAUGUGAGACAUAGAAGACACAAGCAGUAGUUAUUACACUGGAUCAUUUAAAAGGAACCUGUUGCAAUAAAAAGGUUAGUUUACAGUGCAAAAUAAAGCAUGUGUUGGACCGCUGAAAAUGUAAAUGUUGCUCUGUUAUUUUCAAACAUAAAUCAUAUUUAGUAUGGAUCCUUUGCAACAAACACACAGGGCAGGGAAGAUGUGCUGAUUGGUGUUUCUAUACAAUUAAUCCCAUAUGGGGAAUUAACUUUCAAAUACUAAUGAAGUGACUUUUUGUCUCAGUUAUAAAAAUACUGAGCUCAUCAUGCAAACAAUGCAACACAUUUACACUAUCCCACUCUCAUAGAAAGUGUAGUGGGCUUAUAGUAUUUUUAAAGCAACAAUCAUACCAGGCACAUAGAUCCCAUGUGAAAUAACUUACAAUAAAACAGAGUAAU
rnacentral:lncRNA from 1 species